GACGAACGCUGGCGGCGUGCUUAACACAUGCAAGUCGAGCGGUAAGGCUCCUUCGGGAGUACACGAGCGGCGAACGGGUGAGUAACACGUGAGCAAUCUGCCCUCCACAUCGGGAUAACCCCGGGAAACUGGGGCUAAUACCGGAUACGACCACCGAUGGCAUCAUCUGGUGGUGGAAAGUUCCGGCGGUGGAGGAUGAGCUCGCGGCCUAUCAGCUUGUUGGUGAGGUAACGGCUCACCAAGGCAACGACGGGUAGCCGGCCUGAGAGGGUGCCCGGCCACACUGGGACUGAGACACGGCCCAGACUCCUACGGGAGGCAGCAGUGGGGAAUAUUGGACAAUGGGCGAAAGCCUGAUCCAGCAACGCCGCGUGAGGGAUGACGGCCUUCGGGUUGUAAACCUCUUUCAGCGGGGACGAAGCGCAAGUGACGGUACCCGCAGAAGAAGCUCCGGCCAACUACGUGCCAGCCGCCGCCGUAA
rnacentral:rRNA from 1 species